GGUAGGGUAUUUUCCCAUUAGAGCUAGAAUUGUAGGUUGAAACUGAAUAAUAUCUACUAGAGCAGGUGCUAGAUCAAAGUCAGUUACCUAGAAUGGAGAGGACUUGGAUUAGACAUUGGUCAAAUGGUUCAAUUUACCAAUCAGACAGGUUACUAUGAUCCUCAAACAAUUCAUGUUCCUUUAUGGAAAAGUUCCUUUGGAGGAAUUGAGUGUUGUUAGGGCCUAGCCAUAGCCCAAUAUUGUUGAACCUGCCCAAAAUCUCUAAAUAGUCACUGGCUAGUCAGCAAACCUAUAGUAGAGAAGCUCCAAUAAUGUCAAGCAGCUCUCUUAUGUAUUUCGAGAUUCAGAUGCCUAGAGUGUUGGCUAGGUGACAGAGAAGGAUUAUUCUGAUUUGUUAUUCUUUGUCCCUCCAAAUAAAUCAUUGUUCAAGACUUCUAGUACCCUAAUAAAAAUAUAGGGACAAUUUCAAGGAAUUUAAACGAGAAAAUAUUUGAGCAAACAAGAGCCAUAAUUAUUAGUAGCAUCCAAUAUGGGUUCAACCUGGGCCAUAGAAGCUUUCGCGUGGUAAAGCUUGUGGCUGUUGCUAUUUCAUUUUCUUUCACGUGGAUAAUGCACAACGUCCAAGUAGAGUGUGACAAGGAUCUUUUACUUGUCAUUUCUUAUUUAUUAUUUGAUGAAAAAUAUGAUGCAAUCCACUCACUUUUAAAUGCCAAUUAUUUUAGUCUAACUCUUCAUUGCUGUGAAUUUAGUAAUCUUAAUCUUCAUAAUUAUUUUUAUUUACUCACGCCGUUAUCUAGAUUUAUCAUUGCUUAAUGAAUAUAACUUGAUUGGUUCACUUGUAAUGCUAUAUGCUAAUGCUUCUGAGCUUUUCAAAAGCACCAUUUGAAUUUUGAGCAAAAGUGUUAUAGUUUUCACACCUUGUUUUGAGCCACUAGUGCCUUUUGGAAUUUAUUUGCAAGGCAGAGUUGAAAGAUUCAUAAAUGAUGAAUCCUUCGAUUUCCAUGUUUGUUUCUUGAAGCUUCCCUGCUGCAUUCUUGAAGCUCAACUUUUGAUUUCAAUUUCCAAAAGUUCUCAUUUCACUUUUCUUCUUUCCAGUUUUGUCAUUGAAUUUCUAUAGGUUUCGGCUUCUGUUUGUUCUGGUUUUUGUCUAAGGUACGCUAAAACUGACCUUUAGUUUACAACUUUUUUAGCUGCCAUUGUUUUGUACUAAUCUUAUUUGACAGUUUUUUAAUAUAUGUAAUUUGGCGUUUGUCAUCGAGACAUCAAACCACAUAACCUACUGGUCAAUCAACAGACACAUCAGUCGAAGAUAUGUGAUUUUGGGAGUGCAAAGAUAUUGAUGGGAUCUUGUUGCUUGAAGUUAAUAGGAUGCUAAGAGCAUGAGGGUAUUUUGUUUGGGCUGCCCAACCGGUUUAUAAGCACGAAGAAGCUUUAGAAGAACAAUGGGAAGAUAUAGUUGAAAUAAGUUUCCAUUUAGAUUGAAUUUAUUGAAGCUAUUUAGCUAUAUUUUUAUUGAAUUUAUGUAUUCUUCAGUUAUGUACUUUUCUUGAACUGGCCUGAACAGUCAAUAAGUUAUUGGAGAAGAAGGAUCCAAGUGCAUCUAAGAUUAUCAGUCAGCACUCAAGAAGAAAUGACAUGUGCAGGAUGAUUCAACAAAAAGCCUAGUUUCUAAGGCUCUUGUCUCCCAUCCAAUUCUCCAUUCAUGGACGACGCCUUUGCUAGAUAUAUUCCGGAGUUAUGUUUGAUUGAUGUGCAUGUAAAUCUGAAAUAUUUGAUCAUAUAGACUCUUAAAGAGGCUUUUGAGGUCUUUUGCAACAAAGGUGUUGCUGGAAACUCUAGUGCAGAACUUCUUGCCACUUUUUGUGAUAACAUUCUCAACAAAGGAUGCUUUCAUUAUUUUAUGGACUUUGGCAGUACAUGUUCAACAAGUUAGAGCUUCAUGUACUCAUUUUAGGGAUUGACAAGGCUGGCAAAACGACUUUGCUUGAGAAGAUGAAGUCGGUGUACACGAAUGUAGAAGGUCUUCCUCCGGAACGAAUUGUGGAAAGCAAUUGCUUCUCCAGGGCGUGGUAUUUUGGCCAUGGAUGAAUCCAAUGCUACAUGUGGAAAGCGGUUGGAUUCAAUUGAACUAGAGAACACCGAAGCUAACCGUCAAUCAUGGCGUAAAAUUAUAUAUGAAGAAAGUGUUAUGAGUUGGUUAAAAUAUAAUUUUUAUGUGUAUGAUUUUAUAGUACU